CCCCAGUAGCGGCGAGCGAACGGGGAGGAGCCCAGAGCCUGAAUCAGCAUGUGUGUUAGUGGAAGCGUCUGGAAAGGCGCGCGAUACAGGGUGAGAGCCCCGUACACAAAAGCGCACAUGCUGUGAGCUCGAUGAGUAGGGCGGGACACGUGGUAUCCUGUCUGAAUAUGGGGGGACCAUCCUCCAAGGCUAAAUACUCCUGACUGACCGAUAGUGAACCAGUACCGUGAGGGAAAGGCGAAAAGAACCCCGGCGAGGGGAGUGAAACAGAACCUGAAACCGUGUACGUACAAGCAGUGGGAGCCUCUCUUUAUGGGGGGUGACUGCGUACCUUUUGUAUAAUGGGUCAGCGACUUAUAUUCUGUAGCAAGGUUAACCGCAUAGGGGAGCCGAAGGGAAACCGAGUCUUAAUUGGGCGUUAAGUUGCAGGGUAUAGACCCGAAACCCGGUGAUCUAGCCAUGGGCAGGUUGAAGGUUGGGUAACACUAACUGGAGGACCGAACCGACUAAUGUUGAAAAAUUAGCGGAUGACCUGUGGCUGGGGGUGAAAGGCCAAUCAAACCGGGAGAUAGCUGGUUCUCCCCGAAAGCUAUUUAGGUAGCGCCUCGUGAACUCAUCUCCGGGGGUAGAGCACUGUUUCGGCUAGGGGGCCAUCCCGGCUUACCAACCCGAUGCAAACUGCGAAUACCGGAGAAUGUUAUCACGGGAGACACACGGCGGGUGCUAACGUCCGUCGUGAAGAGGGAAACAACCCAGACCGCCAGCUAAGGUCCCAAAGUCAUGGUUAAGUGGGAAACGAUGUGGGAAGGCCCAGACAGCCAGGAUGUUGGCUUAGAAGCAGCCAUCAUUUAAAGAAAGCGUAAUAGCUCACUGGUCGAGUCGGCCUGCGCGGAAGAUGUAACGGGGCUAAACCAUGCACCGAAGCUGCGGCAGCGACACUUUAGUGUUGUUGGGUAGGGGAGCGUUCUGUAAGCCGUUGAAGGUGUCCUGUGAGGGGUGCUGGAGGUAUCAGAAGUGCGAAUGCUGACAUAAGUAACGAUAAAGCGGGUGAAAAGCCCGCUCGCCGGAAGACCAAGGGUUCCUGUCCAACGUUAAUCGGGGCAGGGUGAGUCGACCCCUAAGGCGAGGCCGAAAGGCGUAGUCGAUGGGAAACGGGUUAAUAUUCCCGUACUUGGUGUUACUGCGAAGGGGGGACGGAGAAGGCUAUGUUGGCCGGGCGACGGUUGUCCCGGUUUAAGCGUGUAGGUGUGUGUUCCAGGUAAAUCCGGUUCACUUUAAC
rnacentral:rRNA from 1 species